AGGCUCGAGCUACCUGCUGGAAUACCGAAGAACCGAUCCGCGGAACUGGCGCGAGCGACCUAAUCCACUAACGACAUGCGGAGACACUUUAGGAAAGCGCUUGCAAGUAACUUAAAAUAAUUCACUUUAUAUGGAAUUAUUAAUAAAACGCACCGGUUCCGUUUCACGUCGCAGUUAGUGUCUUGUAGGAAUGCGUUGGAGUUUGUGGUCUGGUCGACUCCAACAGAUGAUCGCCUUUGAACAACAGCGGAGUUGUUUAUGAACUGGGGAAGAUUUGAAGUCAGGCUCAGUCAGAGGGGGAGAGGAGACGAGGGGAGGGAGCAGAGGAGAGGGGCGCCCAGAAAACGCCCUGCUGCUCAAUCCUCUCAAAAUUAAAAGUUUAUCGCGCCGUUGAUGGCACGCUCGCAUUAAAGGAUGGGAAGUUUGAUUCCGCUCAGUUAUUUAAAGUAACCACUUCAUAGAUUGUUUUGAGGGGAAAGUUUGGAAAACCUCAAUCGUUCCCAUUGGAUUAUUUUUUUCUUCCGCUUUAUUCUGGACAAGCCCGGGGUACUUUUUGGAGGGUGGCAAGUCGAAGGCUGUCUAGGCCCGCUGCUCGACAACUUGAAAGAAGAUCUUGUAUCUUUAAUGUGAACCAGAAAAGUUGGGCAGAUCGCUCUUUGUUGCUCAGACUGGCGCCAGGACAAGGCAAAAAUGUCGCUAGGAGCGGAGAGAAGGAUGGAAAACCGGCUGAGACAACUGGAAGCCAUGCUCAAAGAGCCGCGGUCUGCGAUCAACGUGGAAAGUUUGCUGGAUUCCAUGAAUGCCCUGGUUUUAGAUUUGGACUUUCCGGCCUUGCGUAAAAAUAAGAACAUCGAGACCUUCUUGAACAGAUAUGAGAAGGUUAUGGGCCAAUUAAGGGAGCUCCAGAUGAAGCCAGAUGAUUUUGACCGAGUGAAGGUGAUCGGUAGAGGAGCAUUCGGAGAAGUCCAGCUGGUUAGGCAUAAGGCCUCUCAGAAGGUGUAUGCAAUGAAGGUGCUCAGCAAGUUUGAAAUGAUCAAACGUUCAGAUUCUGCCUUCUUUUGGGAGGAACGUGACAUCAUGGCAUUUGCUGACAGCCCGUGGGUCGUGCAGCUGUGCUGUGCGUUCCAGGAUGACCGUUCUCUCUACAUGGUAAUGGAAUAUAUGCCAGGAGGAGAUCUUGUCAAUCUCACCAGUACAUACGACGUUCCAGAGAAGUGGGCAAAGUUUUACACUGCUGAGGUUGUGUUGGCUCUGGACGCCAUUCACUCAAUGGGCUUUAUUCACCGAGACGUCAAACCGGACAACAUGCUGCUGGACCGCUACGGACACCUUAAACUUGCUGACUUUGGGACAUGCAUGAAAAUGGAUGGGACAGGGAUGGUUCAUUGUGACACUGCGGUCGGAACCCCUGAUUACAUCUCGCCGGAGGUUCUCAGGUCUCAGGGAGGGGACGGAUACUACGGACGCGAGUGUGACUGGUGGUCUGUGGGAGUAUUUAUCUACGAGAUGCUGGUUGGUGAUACACCGUUUUACGCCGAUUCUCUGGUGGGGACCUACAGUAAGAUUAUGGACCAUAAGAACUCUCUUAACUUUCCUGAUGACAUUGAGAUCUCUCAAGAAGCCAAAAACAUCAUCUGUGCCUUCCUAACAGAGAGGGAGGUUCGCCUGGGUCGAAAUGGCAUAGAAGAAAUUAAAAGACAUCCUUUCUUUAAAAAUGAACAGUGGACCUUCAGCACCAUUAGAGAGACUGCAGCACCUGUGGUUCCAGAGCUGAGCAGUGACAUAGACACAAGUAAUUUCGAUGAGAUAGAGGAAGAUAAAGGAGAAGUAGAGACCUUUCCCAUAUCCAAAGCCUUUGUUGGCAAUCAGCUGCCAUUUGUGGGGUUCACCUACUUUAAAGAAGACCAGUUGUUGAAUGCUGUUAACAGUUCAGCAAUGAAAGAUCACCCAGCAUCCAAGACAGAGGACAAUUUAGCACUCCAGAAGAAACUUCACUCUGUAGAAGAGCAGCUCAACAAUGAAAUGCAGGUCAAAGAUGAGCUGGAGCAAAAAUACAGAAGCAACUGUAGCCGCCUAGAGAAGAUCACCAAAGAGCUUGAUGAAGAAAUAAAUAGCAGAAAAGGAUUGGAGAUGACUCUGAGACAGUUGGAGAGAGAGAAAGCUCUCCUACAGCACAAGAACGUAGAGAGUCACCGCAGGGCAGAGAGUGAGGCGGACCGCAAACGCUGCCUGGAGAAUGAAGUGAACAGUCUGAAGGAUCAGCUGGAUGAAAUGAAGAAGAAAAACCAGAACUCGCACAUCUCCAAUGAGAAGAACAUCCACCUGCAGAAACAGCUGGAUGAGGCAAAUGCGUUACUGCGGGCAGAAACUGAUGCUGCUGCGCGGCUGCGUAAAACUCAAACCGAGAGUUCAAAACAGCUGCAGCAGCUGGAGGCUCACGUGAGAGAACUGCAGGACAAAUGCUGCAUGCUAGAGAACAGCAAACUCACCCUAGAGAGGGACAACAUCAGCCUGCAGGCCGCGCUGGACACAGAGAAACGAGAGCAAACCCAGGGCUCUGAGACCAUUUCUGAUCUACAGGCACGCAUCUCUGGUUUGGAGGAGGAAGUGAAACAGGUGAGACAGGCACUAUCUAAAGCUGAGACGGAGAAGAGACAACUUCAGGAGAAGUUUACAGAUCUGGAAAAGGAGAAGAGCAAUAACCAGAUUGACAUGACCUAUAAGCUGAAGAUGUUGCAGCAGGGGUUGGAGCAGGAGGAGGCGGCACACAAGGCCACAAAAGCUCGACUUGCCGACAAGAACAAAAUCCGCGAGUCCAUUGAAGGAGCAAAAUCUGAAGCUGUGAAGGAGCUGGAACAGAAGCUGCAGGAGGAGCGUUCCUCUAAACUGCGUGUGGAGAACAGGGUGUUAGAACUGGAGAAGAAGAACUCCAUGCUUGACUGCGACUAUAAACAGUCACUACAGAAACUAGAGGAACUGCGACGACACAAGGAGAGACUCACAGAAGAGGUGAAGAAUCAGAGUCUGAAGAUCGAGCAAGAGGUUCAGAAACGCACUUUGACUCAGAAUGACCUGAAGGUUCAGAACCAGCAGCUUAGCACUCUGCAAACAUCAGAGAAACAGCUCAAACAGGAGAUAAACCACCUGUUGGAAAUCAAACGUAGCCUGGAAAAACAAAAUAUGGAACUGCGCAAGGAGCGUCAGGAUUCUGAUGGGCAGAUGAAGGAGCUGCAGGAUCAGUUGGAGGCAGAGCAGUAUUUCUCUACGCUGUACAAGACACAGGUGCGGGAGCUGAAGGAAGAGUGUGAGGAGAAAAAUAAACUCUAUAAAGACAUGCAACAGAACCUGCAGGAGCUUCAGGAGGAAAGGGAUUCUCUUGCGGCUCAGUUGGAGAUCACACUAACGAAAGCUGAUUCGGAGCAGCUGGCGCGCUCCAUUGCAGAAGAGCAGUAUUCUGACCUGGAGAAGGAGAAGAUCAUGAAGGAGCUGGAGAUCAAAGAGAUGAUGGCCAGACACAGACAGGAGCUCGCUGAAAAAGACACCACCAUCACCUCAUUAGAGGAAGCUAAUCGCACAUUGACGAACGAUGUGGCAAACCUGGCCAAUGAGAAGGAAGAACUCAACAACAAGCUAAAGGAAACACAGGACUACCUGCAGAAUCUGAAGAAUGAAGAGGAGUCCAUCACUCAAGUGAAACUUGCCCUUGAGAAACAGCUUCAGUCAGAGAGAACUCUCAAAACACAGGCAGUGAACAAGCUGGCAGAGAUCAUGAACAGAAAGGAGGUCAGAGGUGGUGGAAGUCGCCGUGGAAAUGAUACAGACGUGAGGAGGAAGGAGAAAGAAAACAGGAAGUUGCAACUGGAGCUGCGUUCUGAGAAGGAGAAGCUCAACAGCACUAUCAUCAAAUACCAGAGAGAAAUCAACGACAUGCAAGCGCAACUGGCAGACGAGUCUCAGGUGCGUAUCGAGCUGCAGAUGGCUCUGGACAGUAAAGACAGUGAUAUUGAGCAGCUGCGCGGCCUGUUGAACUCUCUUAAUAUCCAGUCGCUCGACUCUGCCAGUAUGAGCAGCGGCCCGGACAUGGACACUGACGAGUCACCAUCAGAGACAAGACUGGAGGGUUGGCUUUCUUUACCAGUGAGAAACAACACCAAACGCUUCGGGUGGGAAAGGAAGUAUGUUGUGGUAAGCAGCAAGAAGAUUCUUUUCUACAACAGUGAGCAGGACAAAGAGCAUUCCAAUCCUUACAUGGUUUUGGACAUAGAUAAACUUUUCCAUGUGCGUUCGGUAACCCAGACAGAUGUCUAUCGCGCUGACGCCAAAGAGAUCCCCAGAAUAUUCCAGAUCUUGUACGCUAAUGAGGGUGAGAGCAAGAAAGAGCAAGAACUGGAACCUCUUCCUGGAGACAAGUCCAGCUACAUUUGCCAUAAGGGUCAUGAGUUCAUUCCCACCCUGUACCACUUCCCCACUAACUGUGAAGCCUGUACCAAGCCCCUGUGGAACAUGUUCAAACCACCUCCAGCUCUCGAAUGCAGACGAUGCCACAUCAAGUGCCACAAAGACCACAUGGACAAGAAAGAGGAAGUCAUCGCUCCCUGCAGAGUGAACUACGACGUGUCUACGGCUAAAAAUCUGCUGCUGUUAGCAUCUUCUCAGGAGGACCAGCAGAAAUGGCUUAGUCGGCUCAUGAAGAAGAUCCCUAAAAAACCUCCAGCACCAGAAGCCCCUCACCGCUCCUCUCCCAGAGUUCCUGUUAAACUACCAAGCAGUCAAUCCAUGAGGAGACCCAGCCGACAAAUACCCUCCAGCAAACCCAGGUCUGUGCACAACGUAAAGGAACCAACAGCAUGUCCGGAGAAAUCUGGCUUCAUCUACCACAAGGGCCAUGAGUUUAUUCCUUUAUUCUACCACUUUCCUGCCAACUGUGAGGCCUGUACCAAACCCCUGUGGAACAUGUUCAAACCUCCUCUGGCUUUGGAGUGCCAGAGAUGCCAGAUCAAAUGCCACAAAGAGCACAUGGACAAGAAAGAGGAAAGUCUCAGACCCUGUGCUCCAGACCCGUUCAACCCCCAAUUCAGCACGGGUCCCCCUCGACUGGACACUCCAAAGAUGAGGCGAGAAGACUCCACCAACAGCCUUCUGAACAAAUGAGUCCGUUUGAUUACCAUGUUUACAAACUGUUUAUCAAGAAGACAUUUCAGCUGUACUGUAAAAGGAAAAAACUGAAAGAGAACGUGCAUCAAAACAGUAUUUUUAUUUUUUAGUUAACCCUAUAUUGGGAUUCUGGUGCUGCUACAUGGUGAUUUGGGGUUCUUCCUGUCACACCAACAAAAGACCUUUGUCGUGACUUUUCGCACAUUUUGGCAAAUCCAAAAAAAGUGAGAGAUGCACAAAUAUUGAUGAAGGCUUUGCUGUCGUGGUAUGGCUUUUAUUCUCUGGGCAUACGGUUGCUUCGACUUCAAGAGCACUACAGAUCUACACAGAACUGAAGGGUCAGCGUCACACCAAACUUCUUACUCAUUUGAGGCCAGAGUUGACCUGAACACUAAGACUGAACCGGCCACAGAAUGUGGAUGACAGCUGGGUCUGACCGUUGUCUUAAUGGCUGAAUUUAGACAGUAGUGCAACACACCACAUAAACGGCUAGAAAACACUACAUAUGUUUCUCAUUCCUUCAUAAACACAAUGAAACUAGUUUCUUCUUGUAGUGUUUUUAACUUUGUUUACUCCACUGUGUCAUCAAAGCUUGAUUAAACCCCUGAUCAUGAAUGCAUCCCAUAAUGCUCUCUUGGACACCUGUGCUACUCACUCCCUAGUGUGAGUCAAAUGUAAUUGGAGGAGGAAGCUUAAUUAACGGGACAUGAUGGUAUGAUUAACAGAGAUCAGCAUCUAGAUGUGAGCUUUACAUGUGGCAGGAGUUUCUAGAAUGUUUCCAGCAGUCAGUUUGUUGCCGGUCGUCAUAUAAAGUUGAUCAUCAGCUGUUAAGUGUUGAAAUUUUGGGUCUCAUGCUAUGGCUUGCGCCAAAAACAGAUUCAUUUUGCAAGCACAUAACUGAAAUUUUCAUAAGACGGUGUCUGAAUGUCUGGAAACCACAUUUAAAUUCAUUAAGUAUUUUGUAGUUUUUUUAAACUAUUUUUUUUAUUUUGUGAUUUGAAGUCAUUUUGUGUGUGUGUGUGUGUAUCUUCACCCUACCAAACAGUGUGUAUCUCUGGGUGUGCUGUGAACGCAUAUCCGUGUUCUUUUACACGUUAUAUAUAUAAAUAUAUGAAUAUACAGCGUAUA